rnacentral:rRNA from 1 species
UACAGAGGCCUCGAGCGUUAGGCGGAAUCACUGGGCGUAAAGCGUGCGUAGGCGGUUUGUUAAGUCUGCUGUGAAAUCCCCGGGCUCAACCUGGGAAUGGCAGUGGAUACUGGCAAGCUAGAGUGUGUCAGAGGAUGGUGGAAUUCCCGGUGUAGCGGUGAAAUGCGUAGAGAGUCGGGAGGAACAUCAGUGGCGAAGGCGGCCAUCUGGGACAACACUGACGCUGAGGCACGGAAAGCGUGGGGAGCAACAGG